rnacentral:misc_RNA from 1 species
GCGAAAUUCUCCAGUCUGUCUCCUUGUACGUUGCAAAUCUUUGGACGAAAGGAAAAAUGGACACGGUAUUGCCAGCCAGCGUCACCAACAACACAACGAGGAAGUCAGGGAAGGAUGCAAGGGACGAGGCACUUUCCGGGGAGGAGCGGCGAGCAGGGAGUCUGUGGCAGCCACGUGGGACGAUAGGCGGAGACGCGAGCGGUGCGUCUUCCCCCGCCGAGUGCUGGAGCCAGACUGAAGUGAGCCAGUUGCCGACGCCGAACUGGAGAAGAGUGAGGAAAGGCGAGAACACGUAGAGGAGGAGGAAGUGCAGGAGGAGGUGGAGGAGCGAGACCAUUAGGAAGAGGAGAACCGGAGACACAACCAGAGACAGAACCAGACUGGCCUCUUGUUCGUGACGCUGAAGAGCCGCGUGGUGCAGCAAGACUCUUGAUGGAGCCCAUAAGGAUGUCAUCGUAGCCCAGGAACUCAUCCAGGAUGAAGCGGGAGAGGGAGUCCCCAAAGCAGGCAUCCUUCAAGGGAUCGAGUGUGACAAUCUUGAC